rnacentral:antisense_RNA from 1 species
CUUCACCGACCCCAACCACAGCGGCCGAUCCGCCGGCCGGUCCCGCCCGUAGGUGGCCAACAGCGCGUGCGCCUC